rnacentral:tRNA from 1 species
GUGGUCGUAGCUCAGCUGGUAGAGCACCUCGUUGUGGUCGAGGAUGUCGCGGGUUCGAGCCCCGUCGAUCACCCCA